rnacentral:pre_miRNA from 1 species
GUUAACCCGUGUGUAGAUUGUGUUCAGUACUGGGGACAGAUGUGUUUACCUUUGUGUUGAUGGUGUUCAGCACCAAAGACAGGUAUGUUAACCU